rnacentral:rRNA from 1 species
AUUGAACGCUGGCGGCAGGCUUAACACAUGCAAGUCGAGCGGUAGAGGGGAGCUUGCUUCCCUUGAGAGCGGCGGACGGGUGAGUAAUGCCUAGGAAUCUGCCUGGUAGUGGGGGACAACGUUCGGAAACGGACGCUAAUACCGCAUACGUCCUACGGGAGAAAGUGGGGGAUCUUCGGACCUCACGCUAUCAGAUGAUCCUAGGUCGGAUUAGCUAGUUGGUAGGGUAAAGGCCUACCAAGGCGACGAUCCGUAACUGGUCUGAGAGGAUGAUCAGUCACACUGGAACUGAGACACGGUCCAGACUCCUACGGGAGGCAGCAGUGGGGAAUAUUGGACAAUGGGCGCAAGCCUGAUCCAGCCAUGCCGCGUGUGUGAAGAAGGUCUUCGGAUUGUAAAGCACUUUAAGUUGGGAGGAAGUUCAGUAAGUUAAUACCUUGUUGAAUUGACGUUACCGACAGAAUAAGCACCGGCUAACUCUGUGCCAGCCGCCGCCGUAAGAC